UGGCAGUAUUAUCUUGAAAUACCAUAUAAAAAAACACAAAGUCUUUCUUCCCCAUAAAAAGUUACAAUCUGCAAUUCCGGAACGAUUCAAAGAAUCGUUUUUCGAAAGUUUUUUUUGCAUUCAAAGGUAAAACGCAAGGCGUUUAAUGGCCACUUUCUGACAGAUGUUCAAAAAUUCCCUUUUGAAAAUACGCUAAAUGUUAUGUACUGCAAAUAAUAUAGAUUUCGCC